AGAAGUCCGGCUUGCUCGAUUGAGCCCGGACGUUCUCGGAUGCGAGUGCCCAGUGGGCCACUUUUGGUAAGCAGAACUGGCGCUGUGGGAUGAACCAAACGACGGGUUAAGGGGCCCGAUGCAGGACGCUCAUGAGAACCCAUGAAAGGUGUUGGUUGCUAUAGACAGCAGGACGGUGGCCAUGGAAGUCGGAACCCGCUAAGGAGUGUGUAACAACUCACCUGCCGAAGCAAGCAGCCCUGAAAAUGGAUGGCGCUUCAGCGUCGACCCCAUACCCGUCCGCCGCGCCGGAGAUGCGAUCGCAUUAUGGCGCGGCGAGUAGGAGGGCGCGGGGGCGAGCGUGGAAGGUGCCGGGCGCAAGCCCGCCUGGAGCCGCCCCUGGUGCAGAUCUUGGUGGUAGUAGCAAAUACUCAAGUGAGAACCUUGAGGACUGAGGUGGAGAAGGGUUCCAUGUGAACAGCAGUUGAACAUGGGUCAGUCGGUCCUAAGGGAUGUCCGAAAGGAUUUCCGAAGGGGGGACUUUGGUGGAGGGGUCCCCCCCAUGACCGAAAGGGAAUCGGGUUAAUAUUCCCGAACCCGGACACGGAGAUCGGUCCCUCCGGGGACACGUGCGGUAACGCAAACGACCUCGGAGACGUCGACGGGGGUCCCGGGAAGAGUUGUCUUUUCUUUGUAAGGGUUCGGCUCCCUGGAAUCGGCUCGCCCGGAGAUAGGGAUGCUGAACCCGUAAAGCACCGCGCCUCUUGUGGUGUCCGGAGCGCUCCCGUCGGCCCUUGAAAAUCCGAGCGAGAGAUGGUGAUUUUCGUGCCGGCCCGUACCCAUAUCCGCAGCAGGUC
rnacentral:rRNA from 1 species